rnacentral:rRNA from 1 species
CCCUUAGAUGUCCUGGGCCGCACGCGCGCUACACUGAGUGUCUGAGAUACGAGUCUGCCUGGUCCGGCAAGGUCUAGGUAAUCGCUAAAAGACACAUCAUGCUUGGGAUAGAUUAUUGCAAAUAUUAAUCUUGAACGAGGAAUUCCUAGUAAGCGCAAGUCAACAGCUUGCGUUGAUUACGUCCCUGCCCUUUGUACACACCGCCCGUCGCUACUACUGAUUGGAUGUUUAAGCGAGGUUCUCGAACUGCUAGCGACUUAGCUUCGGUGAGGUCGCAGUGUGGGAAGUGAACCUAGCUUUGGCGUCUAGAGGAAGUAAAAGUCGUAACA